UCCCUGCACCCUAAAUAUGUUCAUAAGUAUGGAAUCAUGUCAAACUCAAAUAUAUAUUCAUAUCAAUUCUCAAUUAACCAAUGAUGACUCUGAUGAAGAAGCAUUAGAAACUCUUUUUAAUCUCCUUCCUGCUUUUGGCCAAAAGACUUUUUUCGAGUCAUCUAAGAAUGAGAAUACACAGGAUGUAAUCUGCUCUUACUAGGAGUGAUCGAUUCCAUGUUGACCUACUCAUAA
rnacentral:lncRNA from 1 species